rnacentral:rRNA from 1 species
GUGAGUAGUUCAGAGUUUGAUCCUGGCUCAGGAUGAACGCUGGCGGCGUGCCUAACACAUGCAAGUCGAGCGAUUUACUUUUGUAAAGAGCGGCGGACGGGUGAGUAACGCGUGGGUAACCUGCCCUGUACACACGGAUAACAUACCGAAAGGUAUGCUAAUACGAGAUAACAUACUUUUAUCGCAUGGUAGAAGUAUCAAAGUUUUUACGGUACAGGAUGGACCCGCGUCUGAUUAGCUAGUUGGUAAGGUAACGGCUUACCAAGGCGACGAUCAGUAGCCGACCUGAGAGGGUGAUCGGCCACAUUGGAACUGAGACACGGUCCAA